UGGGGAAUAUUGCACAAUGGGGGAAACCCUGAUGCAGCAACGCCGCGUGAAGGAAGAAGGGUUUCGGCUCGUAAACUUCUAUCGAUGGGGACGAAUAAAUGACGGUACCCAAGUAAGAAGCCCCGGCUAACUACGUGCCAGCAGCCGCGGUAAUACGUAGGGGGCAAGCGUUAUCCGGAAUUAUUGGGUGUAAAGGGUGAGUAGGCGGUAGUUCAAGUCAUGUGUGAAAAGUUCGUGCUUAACAUGAACCCUGCACAAGAAACUGAACCACUAGAGUACAGGAGAGGUAAGCGGAAUUCCCAGUGUAGCGGUGAAAUGCGUAGAUAUUGGGAAGAACACCAGUGGCGAAGGCGGCUUACUGGACUGAAACUGACGCUGAGUCACGAAAGCGUGGGGAGCAAACA
rnacentral:rRNA from 1 species